GGUGAUGUACGGCUCAGUUGGUAGAGCAUGGCGCUUGCACCGCCAGGGUUGUGGGUUCAAUUCCCUGGGCCACCC
rfam:Salmo salar isolate Sally breed double haploid chromosome ssa08, whole genome shotgun sequence.